UUAUAUUUAAAAUGGCGACUGGCUUUGUCCUGGAGAUAAUUGAGUUAAUUGGUAAUUAUCUCCAGGGCAGAGGGGAGGGAAUCAUUGUGGGUAAAAACUGUGUCUAUGUGUCUGGAAUGUCCCCAUAUCUUUCUGUCAUUUAAGUCUCCCAUUUGGUCCCCUAGGGGAGUGUCCACCAAGUGGGAGACCUGCAUAAAUACGGGCAGGUAGCCCACAGUAAAGCCAGAUCCUGUUUGACCCUCAAUGCGGAG